ACUCCUACGGGAGGCAGCAGUGGGAAGUAUUGCACAAUGGGGAAACCCGGUACAUGCAGCCAUGCCGCGUGUGUGAAGAAGGCCUUCGGGUUGUAAAGCACUUUCAGUAGGGAGGAAGGUAGUGUAGUUAACACCUGCAUUAUUUGACGUUACCUACAGAAGAAGCACCGGCUAACUCCGUGCCAGCAGCCGCGGUAAUACGGAGGGUGCGAGCGUUAAUCGGAAUUACUGGGCGUAAAGCGCAUGCAGGCGGCCUGUUAAGUCAGAUGUGAAAGCCGGGC
rnacentral:rRNA from 1 species